CAGCAUUUGACAAGGUGCCUCCAACAGUAAGAUGCAGGUAAUCAGUCCAAGAUUUUGGUGCCAUCCCCUGUUUAAGAGUUUCAUGCAGGAUAUUUAUCCAUAGCUCUCCAGCUGAAACAUCCACAUAAGGCUUGAGCUUGACCUUGGAUGGAAUGUCCAUGGCCUCUAGCUGCAACGGUCAAGUCCGACACAUAUCCCAUUCUGAAAAUAUGGUUUAUCGUGCGCGAUAUAUCGGAGACGGAGUUUGGAUGUAAGACAGCUAAUGGGCAUACGUUGAUAUAUCAGAGGAACCAAAAUGAGGUGGAAUUAUUGAGGCUGCAAAUAGGUGGUUCCUGCUGUCAGAGUGAAUGGCGGGCUGGCCCCUACUAAGUUUUAUGCUUCUUCAAGCUGAGUGUCUGGGGAGUCAGAUUACUGGGACCCACUCCAGUUUUUCUUCAUAAGAGUAUACAUUAUGUUUUGACAGCCCUCACCAACGUGUUAUACAUUUAGUCUGCAUAAUUUCCAUGAAGUUUUUACAUAUGAUCAUCAAUUUUUGUGUAAAAUUUACAUUGACAUGUGAAUUCUGGUCGAAGACGUCUUACGAACUUCGAUUCCAAUUUUUUGUAAGGUUGUAUAAUCAAGAUUCGUACCGGUGCACAUGAACUAGCUCAAUUCGUCCCAGUUCUUAAGAAAAGUAAACAGAAUAAGCAUAAUGAUGAAUAUGUUGAAUGCUGACAAACAAACAUUUUCGAAAGCUUCCUACGUCGAUUUUUACUACUGUUUCUAAGUCUCUCGAUUCAAUGUCCUUUCAAAUAGUGAUUCUAUUAGAGCGAAGUUGUUUAAGUUAGAGGUGCAUUUAAUCAUUUAGAUUAUAAUUUUCAAAAGUGCCCUUCUCAAGUGAAAUAAAAGGCAGGACCACCAAGUGAAAUUGCGUUCAAAUUCAACUGCAUCUAGACUUUGAUUUUAUGUUUUCUUUGACUCAAUGAGUGACAGAAGUUGUUUUUGG